AUUAAUAAAUUAAAACUUUCAACAACGGAUCUCUUGGUUCUGGCAUCGAUGAAGAACGCAGCGAAAUGCGAUAAGUAAUGUGAAUUGCAGAAUUCAGUGAAUCAUCGAAUCUUUGAACGCACAUUGCGCCCCCUGGUAUUCCGGGGGGCAUGCCUGUUCGAGCGUCAUU
rnacentral:rRNA from 1 species